rnacentral:rRNA from 1 species
UAGUCGCAUGGCACUCUAAGAGCCGCUCUUAUAUCUCCUCUCACACGGAAAGGGAAACAGGUGAGUAACAAAAAAGGAACGUGCCCUUCGGUUCGGAAUAACUCAGGGAAACUUGAGCUAAUACCGGAUACGCCCUUAUGGGGAAAGGUUGACUGCCGAAGGAUCGGCCCGCGUCUGAUUAGCUAGUUGGUGGGGUAAUGGCCCACCAAGGCGACGAUCAGUAGCUGGUCUGAGAGGAUGAUCAGCCACACUGGGACUGAGACACGGCCCAGACUCCUACGGGAGGCAGCAGUGGGGAAUAUUGGACAAUGGGCGCAAGCCUGAUCCAGCCAUGCCGCGUGUGUGAUGAAGGCCUUAGGGUUGUAAAGCACUUUCGUCCGGGACGAUAAUGACGGUACCGGAAGAAGAAGCCCCGGCUAACUUCGUGCCAGCAGCCGCGGUAAUACGAAGGGGGCUAGCGUUGCUCGGAAUCACUGGGCGUAAAGGGCGCGUAGGCGGCCGAUCAAGUCAGAGGUGAAAGCCCAAGGCUCAACCUUGGAAUUGCCUUUGAUACUGUUCGGCUCGAGACCGGAAGAGGUAAGUGGAACUGCGAGUGUAGAGGUGAAAUUCGUAGAUAUUCGCAAGAACACCAGUGGCGAAG